AAUUCUAUAGGUGUAGUGGUUUAUCACAUCUCCUUUACAAAAAUUGCUUGGCCCGGAGAAGGUCAUGGGUUCGAUCCCCAUAGGAACUA